rnacentral:rRNA from 1 species
GUGGUUUAAUUCGAAGCAACGCGAAGAACCUUACCAGGUCUUGACAUCCUUUGACCACUCUAGAGAUAGAGCUUCCCCUUCGGGGGCAAAGUGACAGGUGGUGCAUGGUUGUCGUCAGCUCGUGUCGUGAGAUGUUGGGUUAAGUCCCGCAACGAGCGCAACCCUUAUUGUUAGUUGCCAUCAUUCAGUUGGGCACUCUAGCAAGACUGCCGGUGACAAACCGGAGGAAGGUGGGGAUGACGUCAAAUCAUCAUGCCCCUUAUGACCUGGGCUACACACGUGCUACAAUGGGAAGUACAACGAGUUGCGAAGUCGCGAGGCUAAGCUAAUCUCU